UACGAAGGGGGCUAGCGUUACUCGGAUUGACUGGGCGUAAAGGGCGCGUAGGCGGUUUGUACAGUCAGACGUGAAAUUCCUGGGCUCAACCUGGGGGCUGCGUUUGAUACGUGCAGACUUGAGUUCGGAAGAGGGUCGUGGAAUUCCCAGUGUAGAGGUGAAAUUCGUAGAUAUCGGGAGGAACACCGGUGGCGAAGGCGGCGCCCUGGUUCGAUACUGACACUGAGGUGCGAAAGCGUGGGGAGCAAACAGG
rnacentral:rRNA from 1 species